rnacentral:lncRNA from 1 species
AUGCAAUCCAUCUAAGAGGAAAGAGUUUUUGAGGGAAGGGUGAUCACUGGGCCUCUACAUGCCACACCCGGAAGGCCCAGCAGUGGGGCAAGGAUAGAACACACAGUUUGGCGAUGUGACCCUGCCUGUCUGCACACCUCAGGAUCCCACCACCCAACAGGCAUACAUCUCCUGGAGCUACAGAGAUGCCAAAUGCCAGAGAAGGGAAGCAGGAAGGGAGAUGAAGACAAGGAACUCUGAAAAAUGGAAGCAGAA